rnacentral:rRNA from 1 species
UACGAAGGGGCUAGCGUUGCUCGGAAUGACUGGGCGUAAAGGGCGCGUAGGCGGUUCGUACAGUCAGACGUGAAAUUCCCGGGCUCAACCUGGGGCUGCGUUUGAUACGUGCGGGCUUGAGUUCGGAAGAGGGUCGUGGAAUUCCCAGUGUAGAGGUGAAAUUCGUAGAUAUUGGGAAGAACACCGGUGGCGAAGGCGGCGACCUGGUCCGAUACUGACGCUGAGGCGCGAAAGCGUGGGGAGCAAACAGG